AAACAAUUUACACCUGCUUGUGCAAAACAAACAAACAAACAAACAAUUUACACGUGAAUAUGCAUGUAGGAAUAGAUGCCCACAUCCUACUUGACUGCAGUCAAACUAAACCGCAUACAAACAUAACAUACAUACAUACGCAGAAGACAAGAUGGCAAAAGAAAAAGAACUGAGCAAUCAAUCCCCAAUCUCUCCCCUUCAAGUAGUGGUAUAUCUUAGCAAGUAAUUACAUCACAACUCAGUGGUUCAUGGGUGGCCUAGAAAAGAAGCAGCCCCCCAGUGGAAGAACUAUACAACUCGCCCUCCACGAAUCACAUACAUACUCAUCCAGCCCAAAACACUGGACUCCGCAGCAGCACUCACAAACCUCUCUAGGACUAGCGCCGGCGUGUAAAAUGCCGGCGCGUCUACACCGUCACCAUCACCAUACACUCAC
rnacentral:lncRNA from 1 species